rnacentral:pre_miRNA from 16 species
UAAAAUUUAGCGGUUUUGUUUUUGGCGGGAAGGUCGGGAGAAGAAACAAUGUUUCCAACCGAUAUUGCACUUGUCCCGGCUUGCCUGCUGCCGCCAUCUUGCUCCAGACAUGAC